rnacentral:rRNA from 1 species
GUGUCAGCCGCCGCGGUAAUACGUAGGUGGCAAGCGUUGUCCGGAAUUAUUGGGCGUAAAGGGCUCGCAGGCGGUUCCUUAAGUCUGAUGUGAAAGCCCACGGCUCAACCGUGGAGGGUCAUUGGAAACUGGGAGACUUGAGUGCAGAAGAGGAAAGUGGAAUUCCAUGUGUAGCGGUGAAAUGCGUAGAGAUAUGGAGGAACACCAGUGGCGAAGGCGACUUUCUGGUCUGUAACUGACACUGAGGCGCGAAAGCGUGGGGAGCAAACAGGAUUAGAAACCCCUGUAGUCC